GUCCACGCCGUAAACGGUGGGAACUAGGUGUUGGCGACAUUCCACGUCGUCGGUGCCGCAGCUAACGCAUUAAGUUCCCCGCCUGGGGAGUACGGCCGCAAGGCUAAAACUCAAAGGAAUUGACGGGGGCCCGCACAAGCAGCGGAGCAUGUGGCUUAAUUCGACGCAACGCGAAGAACCUUACCAAGGCUUGACAUCGCCCGGAAAGCAUCAGAGAUGGUGCCCCCCUUGUGGUCGGGUGACAGGUGGUGCAUGGCUGUCGU
rnacentral:rRNA from 1 species